ACACUAUCUCUUUUUUCUAGUUCUGUCUUCUGGAAACACGGAAUAAGUCCUGGUUUCUUUUCCAUAUAUUUUCAGGUGUUUUGAGAACAUAUUUCAAGAACAUAUUUCAUGACACAGUGAGGAAAACAUUUCCUUUACUGGUUUUUAAUAUGAUACAUUUUCAAAUCCUUGCAUCAUUCUUUUGUAGGGUCAAGAUUUUCAAAGAUGCUUUAAAGUGUAGUAACCAGAACUGAUCUUACCACUUCAAAUAGUCUAAGAUACAAAAGAGAAUAGAACUUGCUCUGUGGUUUAGAGCAAGGAUUUUCAAGCUGUUUCUCAGAGCUUUAGGAGUUUCAUGCAGU
rnacentral:lncRNA from 1 species